UGUUAAAAAUUUUAUUUAUUUUCUAUUGUUAAAAAAUGACAUGGUUGACAGAUAACCAAACAGUGGCAUAUGACAUGUCACGCGUACCUAAUGCUGACAUACAAAGACUAAUUUUUAACAAUAAAAAUAGAUAAAAUUUUUAAUA
rfam:Gossypium hirsutum cultivar TM-1 chromosome 20, whole genome shotgun sequence